UACCGAGGAGCCAAGCGUUGUCCGGAUUGACUGGGCGUAAAGCGCACGCAGGCGGUUUGGCGCGUGGGGUGUGAAAUCUGGCCGCUUAACGGCCAGGCGCCAUCCCAUACGGCCGGACUGGAGCCUUGCAGAGGUCGGUGGAAUUGCCGGUGUAGUGGUGAAAUGCGUAGAGAUCGGCAGGAACACCCAGGGGGAACCCAGCCGACUGGGCAUCUGCUGACGCUGAGGUGCGAGAGCGUGGGGAGCGAACCGG
rnacentral:rRNA from 1 species